rnacentral:rRNA from 1 species
AUGCACGCUGGCGGCGUGCUUAACACCUGCCAGUCGCACGAUGAAGCCCAGCUUGCUGGGUGGAUUAGUGGCGAACGGGUGAGUAACACGUGAGUAACCUGCCCUUAACUCUGGGAUAAGCCUGGGAAACUGGGUCUAAUACCGGAUAGGAGCGUCCACCGCAUGGUGGGUGUUGGAAAGAUUUAUCGGUUUUGGAUGGACUCGCGGCCUAUCAGCUUGUUGGUGAGGUAAUGGCUCACCAAGGCGACGACGGGUAGCCGGCCUGAGAGGGUGACCGGCCACACUGGGACUGAGACACGGCCCAGACUCCUACGGGAGGCAGCAGUGGGGAAUAUUGCACAAUGGGCGCAAGCCUGAUGCAGCGACGCCGCGUGAGGGAUGACGGCCUUCGGGUUGUAAACCUCUUUCAGUAGGGAAGAAGCGAAAGUGACGGUACCUGCAGAAGAAGCACCGGCUAACUACGUG